rnacentral:rRNA from 1 species
AACGAACGCUGGCGGCGUGCCUAACACAUGCAAGUCGAACGAGAAAGGGGCUUCGGCUCCGAGUAAAGUGGCGCACGGGUGAGUAACACGUGGGUAACCUGCCUCUAAGAUUGGGAUAACUCGUCGAAAGAUGAGCUAAUACCGAAUAAGACCACAGUUCCCGCGGGAACAGGGGUCAAAGGUAGCCUCUGCUUGCAAGCUAUCACUUAGAGAUGGGCCUGCGCACCAUUAGCUAGUUGGUAGGGUAACGGCCUACCAAGGCAAAGAUGGUUAGCUGGUCUGAGAGGAUGAUCAGCCACACUGGAACUGAGACACGGUCCAGACUCCUACGGGAGGCAGCAGUGGGGAAUAUUGCGCAAGGGGCGAAAGCUUGACGCAGCAACGCCGCGUGAGUGAUGAAGGCCUUCGGGUCGUAAAGCUCUGUCGGGAGGAACGAAUGCUCCUGAGGUUAACAGCCUCGGGAGGUGACGGUACCUUCAAAGGAAGCACCGGCUAACUCUGUG